GACGAACGCUGGCGGCAGGCUUAACACAUGCAAGUCGAACGCUCGUAGCAAUACGGGAGUGGCGGACGGGUGAGUAACGCGUGGGAACGUGCCCUGAGGUACGGAAUAACUGAGGGAAACUUCAGCUAAUACCGUAUGAGCCCCGAGAGGGGGAAAGAUUUAUCGCCUUGGGAGCGGCCCGCGUCGGAUUAGCUAGUUGGUGGGGUAACGGCCUACCAAGGCUUCGAUCCGUAGCUGGUCUGAGAGGACGAUCAGCCACACUGGGACUGAGACACGGCCCAGACUCCUACGGGAGGCAGCAGUGGGGAAUCUUGCGCAAUGGGGGCAACCCUGACGCAGCCAUGCCGCGUGAACGAUGAAGGCCUUAGGGUUGUAAAGUUCUUUUACCCGUGACGAUGAUGACGGUAACGGGGGAAUAAGCUCCGGCUAACUUCGUGCCAGCAGCCGCGUAAUGUCGAUAUCG
rnacentral:rRNA from 1 species